rfam:Stegodyphus mimosarum contig85926, whole genome shotgun sequence.
GUCGUUGCGCUAGUAAUCCUGCUCAGUACGAGAGGAACCGCAGGUUCGGACACUUGGUACAUGUGCCUGGUCGAGUGACCAGUGGUGCGAAGCUACCAUCCGUGGGAUUAUGACUGAACGCCUCUAAGUCAGAAUCCCACCUAAUCACUGCAACGAU